CCUACGGAAGCUGCAGUGAGGAAUAUUGGUCAAUGGACGAGAGUCUGAACCAGCCAAGUAGCCUGAAGGAUGACUGCCCUAUCGGUUGUAAACCUUUUUUAUAAAGGAAUAAAACUAAGCACGUUUGCCUUUUUUCAUUUACUUUAUUAAUAAGGAUCCGCUAACUCCGUGCCAGCAGCCGCGGUAAUACGGAGGCUCCGAGCGUUAUCCGGAUUUAUUGGGUUUAAAGGGGGCGUAGAUGGGUUGUUAAGUCAGUUGUGAAAGUUUGCGGCUCAACCGUAAAAUUGCAAUUGAUACUGGCAGUCUUGAGUACAGUUGAGGUAGGCGGAAUUCGUGGUGUAGCGGUGAAAUGCUUAGAUAUCACGAAGAACCCCGAUUGCGAAGGCAGCUUACUAAACUGUGACUGACAUUGAUGCUCGAAAGUGUGGGUAUCAAACAGGAUUAGAUACCCGUGUAGUC
rnacentral:rRNA from 1 species